GUGCUCGCUUCAGCAGCACAUAUACUAAAAUUGGAAUGAUACAGAGAAGAUUAGCAUGUCUUCCACACAAGGAUGUCAUGUAAAAAGUCAUCCUCUCU
ensembl:snRNA U6 U6 spliceosomal RNA